GAAAUCUGUACCGUUCAUCUGUAGACACGCGUCACGAUUAGAAUGGCUAACAUGAAAGCCUCCGUCCACCUACCCGAGAGCAUAUAUAGUGGCCUAACCGCAUUUUUUCAAAGCACCAAAAGAUAUUUCAUUUCACCAAACUAUCUAAAAAGGGGGAAAAUGUCAUCGGAGACAGCCAAAUCAGCGAACGGUUUGACGGAAACAAAUAAUUCCGGCCUUAAUUUCAAUGAAACUGAGCUAACUCUCGGCUUACCCGGCGAAUCGCGGAAGCAAAUCUCCGGUGCAAAACGUGGAAAUUCCGACGGUAUGGAAUUAAGCCUAGGAAGCUCAACUUCCGGUGAACGCCGCCGUGAUAUCUGCGAAGUUAAUCACUCGAAAAACGAAAUCUCUACCGGAAACAAACCUCCAGCAAAGUAAGUCAUGUAGACACGUAAUUUUUUACUCUCCCGAAUUUAUGCACAAUUUUAAUUGUGAAUUAUGAUAUUAGGGCACAAGUAAUUGGAUGGCCGCCGGUGAGAUCAUACAGAAAAAACGUGAUAGAAAAGUGCAAAUACGUGAAGGUAGCAGUUGACGGAGCUCCUUACUUGAGAAAAGUAGAUCUGGAGAUGUACGACAGUUACCAGAAGUUGUUGAAUGCUUUAGAAAACAUGUUUACUUGCCUAACAAUCUGUAAUUCUCAAAGUGAAAGCAAGCUUAUGGACCUUACAAAUGGUGUAGAAUAUGUACCUACUUAUGAAGAUAAAGAUGGAGACUGGAUGCUUGUA
rnacentral:misc_RNA from 1 species